UACACGCCGCUCCUCCCUGCAGCGUGGUUUGUCCGGCGUGGGGCAUGCUGGGAGCGGGGGGUGGAGUCUCUCUCUCUCUCUCUCUCUCAGGCGGGAUGGGUCCGGACGUGCCCGAUGGUUGCUACUCGGCCGCCGGGCCGGUCGGUUCGGGAACAGCAGCGGCCUCGUGAUGUAGGCAGAGAAUGCCUAUUGAUGCACUUUGCCUAGUUGACAAAUACCACUUUACGAGAAGUUGGUUAGACAGUUCCUGAAUGUGGAGAAAAUGAGUCAAUGAAUAGAAGAUUACAGUUUCUGUACAUACGGCCUUGUAUACUAUGUAAACAUUUCUACAGAACCAGCUCAAGUUCGGCAGCAUUUCUUCCACCAGAAGAAUGUUCUGGAAGAAAUAUACAGGUAAAUGAAUUUUAAAAAGAUGGAACUUGUAAAUCUGAAAAUCAUGGUAAUGUAUUGCUAGUGUGUUCACAAGAAGACUCAAGUAGCUUUUAACUAUAUGUGGCAGUGGUGAGGGAAUGGUCUUGUGUACUAAAAAAUAAAGACUAUAUAUUUUUAA